AUGUCUAAGCAUUGCGAUAUCGAAUUUCUGUGUGUUAGACGGGUGAAGAAGGUGGCCGCCACCGCCGCCACCGUCGCCGCUGCCACCGCCACCGUCGCUGCCACCGUCGCCACCGUUGCUGCCGCUGCCGAUCAUACGGCGGUGUUGGAGUACGCGAGCGCAGCUGAGUGCUGCAAGCUGGCUGCAGCCGUGAGCAUUGCCCAUCCGGACGAAAUCGACGCGAUUAGGGUUGACGAGAUCAUCAUGACGGAUACGGCGUCUGCAGCUGCCGCUGCGGCUGACACGCAAAAACGGGCCAACUUUUCGGCGUUGACAGUCGGUAAUCCGAACGGCGUCAGCAAAAUAUCGCCGAGCCUUACGAAUGCGAAACCCGGUUCUGCAAAGAAGCUCGUCAUCAAGAACUUCAGAAGUAAACCUAAAUUACCAGAAAACUAUCAAGAAGAAACAUGGGAAAAAUUACAGGAGGCUGUGGUUGCUAUACAAACCAGCAAAAGUAUCCGCUAUUCUUUGGAAGAACUUUACCAGGCAGUUGAAAAUAUGUGUAAUCAUAAAAUGGCAUCAACACUUUACUCAAAUUUAACUAUUCUGACGGAAUCUCAUGUAAAAGCUAAUAUCGAGCAGUUUCUGGCGGAAUCUAUGGACAGACAUAUAUUUUUGAAGAAAAUGAAUGAAUGCUGGCAAUCACAUUGUAGACAAAUGAUAAUGAUCAGGAGCAUCUUUCUGUAUCUUGAUAGGACAUAUGUUUUACAAAACCCGAGCAUUUCAUCGAUAUGGGAUAUGGGAUUGCAUCUUUUCAGAUUACACAUUGUGCUGAAUAGUUUAGUGCAAACGCGUACCGUUGAGGGUCUUCUUAUGCUCAUAGAAAAGGAACGACAAGGUGAUACUGUAGAUCGAACGCUUCUCAAAUCAUUGUUGAGAAUGUUGUCGGAUCUACAAAUCUACCAAGAGGCCUUCGAAACGAAGUUUUUAGUGGCUACAGAAAGAUUGUAUGCUGCCGAAGGUCUACGAUUGAUGAACGAACAUGAUGUUCCUGAAUAUUUAGCUCAUGUGGAUAAACGUUUGCAAGAAGAGAACGAACGACUGUUGCAUUAUCUUGAUACGUCGACUAAAUGGUCACUCAUACAUACUGUAGAAAAACAAUUACUGUCUGAACAUAUUACUAGUAUUUUACAGAAAGGCUUAAGUGGGUUGUUGGAUGAAAAUAGAAUUAGCGAUUUAUCAUUACUUUACAACUUAUACAGUCGGAUAAAAAAUGGCCUUGUGGAGCUGUGUUUGAAUUUUAAUUGUUAUAUCAAAAAAAAAGGCAAAACGAUAGUUAUAGAUCCAGAAAAAGAUAAAACAAUGGUACAGGAACUUUUAGAUUUUAAAGAUAAAAUGGAUAAUAUAGUUAAUACAUGCUUUCAUAAAAAUGAAAAAUUUGCAAAUAGCUUAAAAGAAGCUUUCGAGGCUUUUAUUAAUCAAAGAGCAAAUAAACCAGCAGAAUUAAUAGCUAAAUUUGUCGAUUGUAAGUUACGAGCAGGUAAUAAAGAAGCGACGGAAGAGGAAUUAGAAAGAUUAUUAGAUAAGAUUAUGGUACUCUUUCGAUUUAUUCACGGAAAAGAUGUUUUCGAAGCGUUUUAUAAGAAGGAUUUAGCCAAACGUUUGUUAGUGGGAAAAUCGGCUUCUGUAGACGCGGAAAAAUCAAUGUUAUCUAAAUUAAAACAAGAAUGCGGUGGUGGAUUUACUAGUAAAUUGGAAGGAAUGUUUAAAGACAUGGAACUUAGUAAAGAUAUUAAUAUUGCAUUCAAACAGUAUGCAGGAAACUUGCAGAGUGAAUUAGUGGCAAAUAACCUAGAUCUAACUGUAUCUAUACUUACUAUGGGAUAUUGGCCUACAUAUCCAGUGAUGGAAGUCACUCUACCGAUGGAGAUGGUACAGUAUCAAGAUGUGUUUAAUAAAUUUUAUUUGGGAAAACAUAGCGGUAGAAAAUUGCAGUGGCAGCCAACCUUAGGACACUGUGUACUAAAAGCAUGGUUUAACCAGGGCAAUAAAGAGCUACAAGUAUCAUUGUUUCAAGCAUUGGUUUUAAUUCUAUUCAAUGAUAGUGAUAACCUCUCGUUAGAAGAUAUUAAAACCGCUACAAAUAUCGAGGACGGUGAACUGAGAAGAACACUGCAGUCCUUGGCAUGCGGGAAGGCUCGUGUUCUUCAAAAGAACCCGCGUGGUCGGGAUGUCGCCGAUAACGAUAGAUUCGUAUUUAAUGCAGAAUUCACAAACAAACUGUUCAGGAUUAAGAUCAAUCAAAUUCAAAUGAAAGAAACGAAUGAAGAACAGAAAGCGACAGAAGAAAGAGUAUAUCAAGAUAGACAAUAUCAGAUAGACGCUGCUAUCGUUAGAAUUAUGAAAAUGAGAAAAACUCUGACCCAUAAUCUUCUCAUCAGUGAACUGUAUAAUCAAUUGAAGUUUCCUGUAAAGCCUGCGGAUUUGAAAAAGCGAAUCGAGUCUCUUAUAGAUAGAGACUACAUGGAACGAGACAAGGACAACGCAAAUCAAUACAAUUACGUUGCGUAACCUAAAGCAAAUGCCAAAGAUAUAUUGUCUUGUAAAAUUGAUGCUGAUUUUUCUAGCAAAUUCAAUCUAUCAAUCACAAUUGGUGUCUGUCCAUCGUGAAUGUGAACAAGUUCAAACGAGAGAUUAUAUAACCAAUCCGACUGUUCAGAUAAAGUUAUAAGUGUGUGAUCGAAAGAAAAAGACUUGGUUCAGUGAAUUUCCCCGUUUUGGUUUUUAGUGUGCAAGAGACAUUAAAUGAUUACAAUCCUUUUUUAACCAGUGUUCCGAAUUUUUCGAAAUAAGAUAAAAGGACAUAAUAAUAGGCAAAAAAAGCUUGAUGUAAUGUCCUAGAAUAUAACAAUUUUUUAUGCAACACAAUUUUUCACAGCAUAAUUACGAUUAAGAGAAUGUAAUAAAGAAUGGAAAAUGUAUACAUACUGUGACACUAUCAUGAAAAUAGAAAGGAAUGUUCAACUUAUUUUGAUGAGAAUACUCACUGAGAGUUUUUACAUAAAUCUGUGAAACGUCAACAUAAAUGCAGUUAGGCAAUGUAAAUGCAUACCGAAAGACUAUUAGUAAUUUUUUUAAUUGCGAGAAGAUAGUACUGCCAGCAAAUCAGCGUUUUGGUACGUCAGUAGCACUCCUUCUAACGAGAGAAGAUUAUAGCUUCACGUUGCCAUGUACAGAUUUAGGAAUAACCUCAGGAAGUGAAGGUAGAGUAUAUAAACUUAAUAUCUUCUCACAUAAAUUAUUUUAUACUGCGUUUCAAUUAUAUGUACAACAUUAAAAAACUUAUUUUUUUGUAAUAAUUCAUAGAUUUACCGAAACUGUACAUAGAGAGUAAGGGGUUCUGUACUUAUAAUAAAAAAUACAAUC